UACGUAGGGGGCAAGCGUUGUCCGGAAUCAUUGGGCGUAAAGAGCGUGUAGGCGGUUCGGUAAGUCGGCUGUGAAAGUCCAGGGCUCAACCCUGGGAUGCCGGUCGAUACUGCCGGACUAGAGUUCGGAAGAGGCGAGUGGAAUUCCCGGUGUAGCGGUGAAAUGCGCAGAUAUCGGGAGGAACACCUAUGGCGAAGGCAGCUCGCUGGGACGUUACUGACGCUGAGUGAGCGAAAGCCAGGGGAGCAAACGGG
rnacentral:rRNA from 1 species